GCUGGUGUAGCUCAAUCGGCAGAGCAUCCGACUUGUAAUCGGAAGGUUAAGGAUUCAACUUCCUUCUCCAGCUCC
rnacentral:tRNA from 1 species